rnacentral:lncRNA from 1 species
GCGCUAAUAGCAUAUUUGAAAACUAAACGCUAUGCUAUGCAUAUUUCACUCGCUAUGGCGAUAUUCAUGCUAAAUACGGCAAUUUCGCGCUAUAGCGCGUAUCGACGCUAUUUUUUCGACACGGCGCUAUUUUUCUCAGACGAAUUUUUCAUCAGCCCACUAUUCUUUUGGGCUUUCCGGCCGAGUAACCCUAACCAGCGGCGACCAAACCUAUAGCGACGAC